rnacentral:rRNA from 1 species
GUGUCAGCCGCCGUGGUAAUACGGAGGGUGCGAGCGUUGUCCGGAAUCAUUGGGCGUAAAGGGCGCGUAGGUGGCGGGACAAGCGUGCGGUGAAAGCUCGGGGCUCAACCCCGAGUCGGCCGUGCGAACUGUUUUGCUGGAGCACUGUAGAGGCAGGCGGAAUUCCGGGUGUAGCGGUGGAAUGCGUAGAGAUCCGGAAGAACACCGGUGGCGAAGGCGGCCUGCUGGGCAGUUGCUGACACUGAGGCGCGACAGCGUGGGGAGCAAACAGGAUUAGAUACCCUAGUAGUCC